GAAAUUGCAGAAGCAAAAAGGACGAGAAAGAAAAGCAUGUUCAUCUUCAUAUCCAUGGACAUGGACGAUGAAAUGCAUGAUCGGGCUCGGAGAACUCAGGCAUCAGGCUAAGCCAAUUUUUGUGGGAACUUCUUUUGAGUUGCAUCGAUGGAGAUUCUUUACCCGUCUCGAAGGAGGCACACUUGCAGAGAAUCCAGCAUUCAAGUCAUUUCAACAUCAUCUUAUUUAAGAAUUGACUAGGUGAAGGUUGUUAUAUUGUAUUUUUCGAAAAACAUAACUAGAAAGCGUGUUAGACAACUAUUCAUCAUCAUCUUGUUAUGUGUAUGUGGAUCCUUGAAUAGGAAAAACAAGGGAGGAGAGGAUAGAAGAGAGUAGAAGAUGAAAGAAAAAUAGAAAAGAAGAGAGAGAUGAAGAGGGUUGGAUUGGAGAAGAUCUGAAUCCCUUGUUAUGUUUAUCCAAAAAAUAGUUACAUUUGCACGUUACGAUAA